GUGUUCACUGUGAAAGCCUUGGUGUAAUUAAAACUAUUAAGGCACGCGGUGAAUGCCA
rnacentral:pre_miRNA from 1 species